CUACGGCCACAUCACGUUUAAAUACCGGUUCCCGUACGAUCACCGAAGUUAAGCAAUAUCGAGCCUGGUUAGUACCUAGAAAGGGGACCGUUUGUGAAUACCAGGUGCUGUAA